UACGUAGGGUGCGAGCGUUGUCCGGAUUUAUUGGGCGUAAAGAGCUCGUAGGCGGUUUGUCGCGUCGGCCGUGAAAUCUCCACGCUUAACGUGGAGCGUGCGGUCGAUACGGGCAGACUUGAGUUCGGUAGGGGAGACUGGAAUUCCUGGUGUAGCGGUGAAAUGCGCAGAUAUCAGGAGGAACACCGGUGGCGAAGGCGGGUCUCUGGGCAGUAACUGACGCUGGAGGAGCGAAAGCGUGGGGAGCGAACAGG
rnacentral:rRNA from 1 species